CGGGGGAUAUCUAUUGGAAACGAUAGCUAAUACCGCAUGACAUUGAUUAUCGCAUGAUAAUUGAUUGAAAGAUGCAAUUGCAUCACUUCCAGAUGGACUGCGUUGUAUUAGGUAGUUGGUGAGGUAACGGCUCACCAAGGCGACGAUACAUAGCCGACCUGAGAGGGUGAUCGGCCACACUGGGACUGAGACACGGCCCAGACUCUUACGGGAGGCAACAGUAGGGAAUCUUCGGCAAUGGGGGGAACCCUGACCGAGCAACGCCGCGUGAGUGAAGAAGGUUUUCGGAUCCGUAAAGCUCUGU
rnacentral:rRNA from 1 species